AUGAUCAAGUCUCAACCUUCAUUUUGUUUCGACUUUUGCUCCAAAUCCACUUCAUUCCCCUCAUGUUGUAACCAUGUUCAUGCUCCAAAGGUCUUCACUGUUUCAAUACUUCCUGUCUGGCUCACCAAUUCAGGUUCCUCAUUACCUAUGGCUGCCCUAACACCCAAAAUUUUCCAAGCCAACAUGCUUUGCCAAAACCUGCAUCGAAUAUACAAAUCCAAAAAUCAUGGUUUACAAGGGAGCUAUGCCAUGUACAUGAAAAGAAAGUUCCCAGAAGCACCAUUAGAAAACCCGUCCACACUUGGUCGUUGA